UCAGAAUACAUACAUGUGUUUAUGAUGAAGUAACUUCUGUAUAAUAACGCAUGAAAUAUUUUUACGAUUAUAACCUGUUGAAAAUUAUUUAUUAUUAAAUUAUAUAUCAAAAUAAAUCUUUUUAAUCUCCAUUUAUUAUUCUUAAUCUUCGUUAUUCAUAAUAAUAAUUUUGAAAUGAUUUAUAUAAUUAGUGAGAAAUUUAAUAAUCAUCAAUAAGAGAAAUCGAAUUUGAUUCUUAGAGAGAACUGAAUUGCAUAAUCUGCGAUCAACAAGAAUAUAUUAACAUAUAAUUUUUUAUAUAUUUUUUUAAAUUAACAAAAUUAUAAUAUAAAAUUACAAAAAUUCUUCUAAGUUAUCUUUAUUCUAUAUUAAUAGUUAUGUAUAUUGCGCCACGUGUGUAAUUUUAUACCACAUGAGAUAUCAAAAACUUUUCAUAGCAAGCUUUUCAAUUUAUAUCCCGAUGGAUUUCCAUUUGCUCUGUUAUAUUGAAUAAUCUGUUAUGUCCCAUUGUUUUCCGUUUAUCACCCAUGAUGUAUAGGAAUAAAAAUGUUCACUUUUAAAUUACUCGAGAAAAAAAUAGCUAAAAGGAGAGAUACGUCUAAAUGCUUACAAGAUUCUCUAAAUAUUUUCUUCCAUUUAAAUUAAAUUUUUAUUUAUAGAAUAAAUAACUUUUCGAUAUUUCAAUUAAACAUGAGAUUAAGUUUAUUUGAUAAUUCGUCGAUUAAUAUUCCUUAAUCGGUGAUCAACAAGGGAUUCCGGUUCCAAAGAUACCGGUUCAUACUUUCUCGUCACUUUCAUUUACCAAGCACUCUUUUACACAUAUUCUGCUUGUACAGGGAUCGUGAAUUUAACAUGUUUCAAAAACUUGAUUCCAAAUAGAUUUUUAUAUAUCAUUAAAGUUUACAUCUUUUUUAAAUAAUAUGAGGUUACAUAAAACGAAGUUAUAAAUACUUGUCUGGAAAGUACUUCCAUCGAUACCAAAAUAACACAUCCCAAACACAUUCUACAUUCCACGUAGAGAACGAUGGGAUCAAUCCGUGGAACCGUGGACAACAUC